rnacentral:misc_RNA from 1 species
UCCGGUUUGUCACCGGCAGUCUCGCUAAAGUGCCCAACUAAAUGAUGGCAAUUAACGACAAGGGUUGCGCUCGUUGCGGGACUUAACCCAACAUCUCACGACACGAGCUGACGACAGCCAUGCAGCACCUGUGUUCCGGCUCCCUUUCGGGCACCCCCACCUCUCAGCAGGAUUCCGGACAUGUCAAGGGUAGGUAAGGUUUUUCGCGUUGCAUCGAAUUAAUCCACAUCAUCCACCGCUUGUGCGGGUCCCCGUCAAUUCCUUUGAGUUUUAACCUUGCGGCCGUACUCCCCAGGCGGGAUGCUUAAUGCGUUAGCUGCGCCACCAACAAGCAUGCUUGCUGACGGCUAGCAUCCAUCGUUUACGGCGUGGACUAC